UUCUAUUCCAUGUCCAGGUGUUUCUAUUCCAUGACCAGGUGUUUCUAUUCCAUGUCCAGGUGUUUCUAUUCCAUGUCCAGGGUUCUGAUAUUCCAUGUCCAGGUGUUUCUAUUCCAUGUCCAGGUGUUUCUAUUCCAUGUCCAGGUGUUU